UACGUAGGGUGCAAGCGUUAAUCGGAAUUACUGGGCGUAAAGCGUGCGCAGGCGGUUUUGUAAGACAGGUGUGAAAUCCCCCGGCUUAACCUGGGAACUGCAUUUGUGACUGCAAGGCUGGAGUGCGGCAGAGGGGGAUGGAAUUCCGCGUGUAGCAGUGAAAUGCGUAGAUAUGCGGAGGAACACCGAUGGCGAAGGCAAUCCCCUGGGCCUGCACUGACGCUCAUGCACGAAAGCGUGGGGAGCAAACAGG
rnacentral:rRNA from 1 species